CGGCCUUGAAAUACCACCCUUUAAUGUUUGAUGUUCUAACGUGGACCCGUGAUCCGGGUUGCGGACAGUGUCUGGUGGGUAGUUUGACUGGGGCGGUCUCCUCCUAAAGAGUAACGGAGGAGCACGAAGGUUGGCUAAUCCUGGUCGGACAUCAGGAGGUUAGUGCAAUGGCAUAAGCCAGCUUGACUGCGAGCGUGACGGCGCGAGCAGGUGCGAAAGCAGGUCAUAGUGAUCCGGUGGUUCUGAAUGGAAGGGCCAUCGCUCAACGGAUAAAAGGUACUCCGGGGAUAACAGGCUGAUACCGCCCAAGAGUUCAUAUCGACGGCGGUGUUUGGCACCUCGAUGUCGGCUCAUCACAUCCUGGGGCUGAAGUAGGUCCCAAGGGUAUGGCUGUUCGCCAUUUAAAGUGGUACGCGAGCUGGGUUUAGAACGUCGUGAGACAGUUCGGUCCCUAUCUGCCGUGGGCGCUGGAGAACUGAGG
rnacentral:rRNA from 1 species